rnacentral:lncRNA from 1 species
CCCAUCCUCAUCUCAUCUCCAUCUCCCUCUCUCCCACCCGACACUCCAAAGCCUAAUGCUUCUGGGCUGCUGGCAGAUCCAUGCCUGCCAUGAUAUAAUAUUGUUAUGCCUUCCCACACCUCUCUCUCUACCCUCCAAACUCUAGCCUUUAUUUUAACCUUCAAGCAUAUUGGAUUUCUGAUUCUAAAUCGAUAUGCACUUGGAUUGAAAUCCCAAAUGUCUAUCAAACUCUCAGAUAGAGUUUUGCACUCUCUCUCUCGAAUUAAUUGAUUGAGACUGAAAUUCCAACAAUAUCUAAGCUAAUAUUUAAAUGACAAGUUGGUAAAUUUUAUCUCAAGGAAAAUAUUCUUGUCAUUGUCAAAUACUAAGUUUUAGUAACGACAUCUAAAUAUCAUUGUCGAUGUCGCAAGACCCAUAUGCUCUAUUUUUUAAACUCUUGGCACCAUCGCUUCAUGUCUGAAUCAAAACCUCCUCUUCUCCUCUCUUGCUCUUAGAUGAUCACCACCAUUGUAAAUGACACCCCUCCUUUCUCAAUCUUGCUUCCUUAUGUGACCAAUAGGUCUUUACCACGCAAGUUCUCUCUCCGACCUCCAACAAUUACCUAUGCCAUCGAGCUCUCCCUCCAACCUCCCUUCUUGUCUUCACCUCCUACCUCCCUCCUUGUCCUCAAUUAACGAUCAUUUGUGAUAACUACCGACAAUCCCUAAGAUACCCCCUUUCUCCUCCCCCCCACCCGAACCUUUCUCUUUCUCUCAAUUAGAUCCAAGUCAUAAGUGUCUCCAUAGCUACUUUAAUCAAACCGACAAGGUACUUCUUAUCAUUUCACCAUCCUUCAUCUCUCUCACUCAUACUCUCUCCCUCUCUUGCUUAUUUUUGAUCCUCUCUAUUGUCCAUUAAUGCUCCUUUGGAGCAUGCUUGAUCCCUUGCUGAGAGAAAAUGAUAGAAUGCAUCAAGAAGCCCAUUCUAUUAGCAUUCUAAAUUGAUCCUUGUUGCCUUUAUCACUCAUUAAUUUACUAUGGAAGGGCCCUUUAAAAUUUCUUUCUAUGAGAUUAUUUUCUAGGUCAUCUCUAAAUUGUUCUCUAGUUUUUAUAGUGUCNNNNNNNNNNNNNNNNNNNNNNNNNNNNNNNNNNNNNNAUGAAUAAUGUAUGCUGACAGUAGGCAACAAAAUCUUUUAGUUUAUAGCACUAAACUAUAGUAUUAAUGAUGUUAAAAUAAUAGUUUUUAGUUUUUGGAGGGUCUAUUUUGAUAUCUCCUUGGUUACGUUAAUUUAGACCAUUGAUCUCCAGAUCAUAUUUUUGAUGGUAAGCAGUUUAGAUAUAGAAAAAUCAUAUCCAAUUGUUUGAAUUAUCAGUGCCACAUCUCCUGUUAUUCGGUCUGGACCUGCUUCCGGGACCACGAAAUGCACCACUAGGGGCUGUUUUUCUGAUUCGAGUUUGAAACGAGAUCUUCUUUAGGCUCUUGUACGGAUGCCUGACAUAUUAAUUCUACUAUAUAUAUAUAUAUGUAAAAGUAAUUGUGAAAGCAACCAUUUUUUCAUGAAAAUAACUGAUUUUUGGAAAGGAUAAUUAUCAGGUUUACAUUCCUCCAAUAAAUGGAAGUGGUCAUGAUUGUAUCUUAGUAUAUUAAUUAGGUCUAAUUUUGUUAUUAGUCUUGGCAUUUAUAAAAAUAUAUCAUUCGUCAAGUUUGAUAUAUAGACCCUUUUCCCAUUAAAGUAAGUUCUAGGAUUCAAUUGAUCAAUUAAAAACAUAUUUUUGCUAAAGAUCACAAGUUUGAAUCCUCUAGCAUACAUUAUCAACCAUUUCCCAACGAGCUUUAACUUUUGGGAUCAAUUGGUUAGUUAACACUAUUGAAAUCACAUAGUCACGUAAUUCUAGCCUCGCAAACAAGUAAACAACAAUUAUAACAAUUUGGCUUGCCAAAUAAGAAAAAGAAGGCUGGAAUAAAGUGGCGGACACAGUCCAUACAGAACAAUUCACUACAGUUGUGAUCGAAUUAGAAGCCCCUCCGGGAUCCAACUAUGAUCAAGAGGUUCGCGUACAAUUUAUUAUGAGCAAAAGUUCAGAGGUUUCAUUGCUUAUGCAUGAUGGUUAUUGAGGACAUCGACCUUAGAGAAGCCUCAUGAUGAUGUGAAGUCUCUAGUUGACAAGGAUUUGCAGAAAAGUCUGAAAGGUUACAAUUAGUUCAGCUUAGUAGGUAUAGAUCAAUAUGAUGGAUAUGAUCAUGAUCCACCAUGGAACUUAAAAUCAAAAAUUUUUGCACAGCAAAUUAUAGAAGACAUGAAGCUUCAGGAAUCCAUAUGGCAGUGAACUCCUGUAUGGCAAGUUUAUUAGAGAAAAAUUACGACACAUGCAGCAUGUGGGAGUGAUAAUGCAAUUGCAGCCAUCGUUUUUAGGCAUCACUAGAAUGUGGACCAAGGGAGAUUGUUGGAGGUAGUAAUCCAAACUUAUGCAGGAUAUUUGGAUUUAUAUUAUGAUAUUAGAUAAGAUGAUUUGAGAUUGAGUUGGAAUCUGGAGCUACUGCCUAUGAAUUUCUACAUUCAAUGGUUUCAAUGGCUUCGGCCGAAAUGAUUGUAGGGAUAUGGAUCUUGAGAUUAGAGAAUAAGUUAAUUGGUGAGUAGUGUUUAGUCGCAGAUAGUUGAGUAUAGAUGAUAUAGCAACAGUAAUCAUGAACUACUAGAGCUUGACUGAGGAAGUCCUUUUGUGACUGGAUACAGACUUUGGUAAUUACCAUUAGAGAGAAAAUAAGAAUAAAAUAACUAUUCAUUCAGUGUUUUUAUAUAAUCUCUCCUCUCUUCUCCUCGUUAUAUUCUCCGCCUUCCUAUUAUUCUAUUCUUGAAUCCACAUGCAAGCUCUACCGUGGUGCUCGUAAACUUCACAUUUUACCCUUUUAUUGCACUAUCUUUUUAUUCACAUAGAGAAUAGUGCAAGGCAUGAAAAUACAAUUUAUAUUCACCGCGAAGUGGAAUUUAAAAAAUUUGCCUAUGGCUCACAUGCUAUACGCGAUGGACUUUGGAAUGCAUAUUCCCCAUUACAUGUUAAGAGGUAUAAAAAUUAUGAUUCAAGAGGAACAUUAGAAUCAAUAUGGACCGUUUUGACUACUACGAAUAAGAUUUAAUAGGGUUCAGAAAUGAGAUCUGCCAUAUCAGAAGCUGAAUCGCAUGCCAACUUUCUUGAGGCCAUAAUUUAGGCAUGCAACAUCCGAUUGAGAUAAUUUCUUCUUUUUUUUUUGAUGAAAAUCGGAUAACUUUUCGAAAUCUAUUUUGGAAAAUCUAAUCUUGUCAAACUAAAAGAAAAAUUUAGCACAAAUUGUAUGAUGACAGAUCUCAUUAUUAUAUAUUUCAGUUUAUAGAUUCUCAAUGAAAGAAAAGAGAAUCUAGACUCUAUUUUCAUCAUUUAUUAUUAUUAUUAUUAUUUUGGAGAGGUUCGAGUUGAGUAGGUUGAUGAAAUUUUUCUUUCUUUCCGAUCGGAUCAAGAUGUAUAAAAGCAAUUUCAAAUCUCAAAUUCCCCAUAUAUGGAAGGUGAGCUUGAAGUGCAAACUAAGUCAUACAUUGUGCUUAAUACACGAGAAUUAUCGGUUCUCCCAACCCCUUAUUUGUCGUUCUUCUAGAGUUUGGAUAAAGGUGAUGCAAGCCGGUUCUCAAUUAAGGGAUAGCGUAAAGUUAACGCAAACCAAUUCAAACAAAGAGAUGGCAUAAAGUUGAUGCAAACAAAUUUCUAAUUAGUAUUGUGUAAACGUGAUGCGCAAAACCUAUGGCUAGAAACUAAUGGCAAUACAAACUGGUGGCGAUGUAAACCAAAGGCGGUGCAAAUAGAUUUCCAAUCAAGGACUGUAUAAAUGCAGUGCAAACCAACGGUGGUGCAAAACCAAUGGCUAGAAACUGGUGGCAACACAAACUAGCGGCGAGUAAACCAAUUUCUAAUCAUUAUAAGAUAAAUCAAUUUCUAAUUAAGAUUACAAAAAGGCAAAGUACCUUAUUCCUAAUUUCUAAAAUGCUAAAAUCUUUUUACGGCUCUUCUUGAAAGAUUCCUAUACAAUCAUCUAAAUUCAUGAGCUCAAAAUGCAAAUCAUUUUCUCAAAAAAUUUCUUGCCAAUCAAAUUGAAAUGAUAUAAAUAAAUAAAUAACAUUAAUUGAAUAAAUACAUAAUUCAGAUCCUAAGCUCAUCCAUUAUAAAUAGGAUAUUAGUAACUACAAACUCAAAACAAGCCUCAAGACUUCUUGACCGCCUACCCAUCUGCCACCAGCAAUGUCAUGGCCUUGAGGUGAGCCUCUCCCUAUACCCAUCUCUCUAUCUCCUCUCACUGACUCCCUCUCCCUCUCCCUCUCUCUCAUGGCCUAGAGGUGUGCCUUAUGUUCCACUCUCACAUCACUCUCCUGGUAGCCUACCUCAUUUUUUCCUCUCCCACACUCCAUACUCUUCCAUCCCUUAGUAUCUCCACCCUUCUUUUUUCCUCAGUUAACCCUUAGUCCUCAACCCACCAAGCCCUAACCCUAAUCCUGCAAGUGGAUCAAAUUUCCAAUUCAAUGUAGAUUUGGACUUGGAUCAAAAUUCCAAAAAUUUACCAUUCCUAGCCUUCUUGCUCUGCACUUCUUUCUAUAUACCGUCAGCUCCUCUCCUCAUCAUGGUCCCACCUCACGAACGAGAAUUUAAUGCUAGUAUUGAUAAUUAUAAAUUUGAUUUUUUUGCUUGACAGGUCCACCUUAAAAUGGCUAACUUCAUAGCUAAAUUUCUUGGCUUGGGAGGUAUUGGAAAAAGGUAUAUAUGAUUUUGUUUUUCCAUCCUAUGUUUCAAUGAUAUGUGAAGAAUGACUUUAUGUAAAUGCAAAAGUUGAAAAAAUCAUAAGCGAAAAAAAACUAUGGACCUAAAAGUUUGAAUUUGUUUAUAAUGAGUAUAUGUAAUAUUUGAUUUGCUUACCUUAUUACAUUUAUCUUAAUUUUUGUAAGCAGUUUAGAACUUUUUUUUCUUAAAUUACUUUCGCAUAUGUAUGUAAUUCUAGAAGUCCAUGUUUGCAAUAUCCCCAUCCUCAUCUCAUCUCCAUCUCCCUCUCUCCCACCCGACACUCCAAAGCCUAAUGCUUCUGGGCUGUUGGCAGAUCCAUGCCUGCCAUGAUAUAAUAUUGUUAUGCCUUCCCACACCUCUCUCUCUACCCUCCAAACUCUAGCCUUUAUUUUAACCUUCAAGCAUAUUGGAUUUCUGAUUCUAAAUCGAUAUGCACUUGGAUUGAAAUCCCAAAUGUCUAUCAAACUCUCAGAUAGAGUUUUGCACUC